AGCAGCCGCGGUAAUUCCAGCUCCAAUAGCGUAUAUUAAAGUUGUUGCAGUUAAAAAGCUCGUAGUUGAAUUUCGGGAUCAGUACGCCGGUCGUGCCUUCGGUAUGCACUGGUGUCACUGGUUUCUCCCUUCUGAAGAACCAUCAUGCCAUUCAGUUGGUGUGGCGGGAAUCAGGACUGUUACUUUAGAAAAAUUAGAG
rnacentral:rRNA from 1 species